GAUGAACGCUGGCGGCGUGCCUAAUACAUGCAAGUCGUGCGAACAGACGAGGAGCUUGCUCCUUUGACGUUAGCGGCGGACGGGUGAGUAACACGUAGGUAACCUACCUAUAAGACUGGGAUAACUUCGGGAAACCGGAGCUAAUACCGGAUAAUAUUUCGAACCGCAUGGUUCGAUAGUGAAAGAUGGCUUUGCUAUCACUUAUAGAUGGACCUGCGCCGUAUUAGCUAGUUGGUAAGGUAACGGCUUACCAAGGCAACGAUACGUAGCCGACCUGAGAGGGUGAUCGGCCACACUGGAACUGAGACACGGUCCAGACUCCUACGGGAGGCAGCAGUAGGGAAUCUUCCGCAAUGGGCGAAAGCCUGACGGAGCAACGCCGCGUGAGUGAUGAAGGUCUUCGGAUCGUAAAACUCUGUUAUUAGGGAAGAACAAACGUGUAAGUAACUGUGCACGUCUUGACGGUACCUAAUCAGAAAGCCACGGCUAACUACGUG
rnacentral:rRNA from 1 species